AUGGCGGUAGCUCUAAACCGGUUUUAUGUGGCAGCCGAACCCGACCUCCGGAGUUUUCCCAGCACAAAGUUCUUCAGCCUCCUGCACUUCUUGUGCCCUUUUCCUUGAAUGAUCAGCUGCAGAAAAAAAAGUGUGUUUUCCCUUCAGCAUUUAUAACUUCCCGCGUUUUGCGUGUGUUCUGUUAUUUCGGUCUGCAGUCAUUUCCCUUAGUACUGAAAUCAAGGGUCAAACAAACAUACAAAUGCAGAAAUCAGCGAUAUAAAAAUCACCAUAUAAUACACCAGCUUUUCUGGAUUAAAACACUAUCAAGUUUAUACCAGUGUGAAGAAUUUAAUGUUUAAAAGUUCAUGACAAGGAAAGUGACUCUUAGAGGUAAAAUCCGAAAGUUCUUGGCAAGAUAGAAUUCUCCAAGCAUGUGUCUCUUAGAGGUGCUUGCAAACUGACUGCUUUAUCAUCUGCUCCAGAAUUUUGAGGUAUGUUUUGGAAUGUGUGAGUUCGUACAUGUGCUCUGAGAGCAUCAUAGGUAACAAGGAGCAUAGAACAGGACACAAACCAAUGGAUUCAAUUUAUAAGAAAGGAGAUUCCAAGCAACCAUUAGAAAGAAUUUCCAGAUGGCAAGAGUUAUUUGACAGUGGAAUGGAGGACCUUGGAAGGCCUGGACUAGACGCCCCUUGGGGUUACUUCCAGAUCUACAUAUCUAUGCCAGGUAGGUGGGGCUCAUCAGUCUUAGAAGCAG